rnacentral:rRNA from 1 species
UACGUAGGGUGCGAGCGUUAAUCUGAAUUACUGGGCGUAACGCGUGCGCAGGCGGCUAUUUAAGCUUGCUGUGAAAGCCCCGGGCUUAACCUGGGAACUGCAGUGAGGACUGGAUGGCUGGAGUGUGGCAGAGGGGGGUGGAAUUCCACGUGUAGCAGUGAAAUGCGUAGAGAUGCGGAGGAACACCGAUGGCGAAGGCAGCCCCCUGGGCUAACACUGACGCUCAGGCACGAAAGCGUGGGGAGCAAACAGG